CCUUACAGGGGCACAGGCCCUAUUUUCAUGUUGUAUUUCUUCCUUGUUCUGGCAGGGAUGCGGAUGAGAGGUCUGAAGCUGGAACAGCCUUUUUGUGGCCCUGAAGGAAAAACUAAGAGAUCUCAGAAUCUUUGACCCUGACAUAUUCAAACUGCAAGAACACCAUCAACUAACCCUACCUCUGAGCAUCUUGAGUGUCCUUUUGCAGAGAAAAAAAAAAAAUUGACUAAAGAGAGCUGAGUGGAGUCAGAGCCCUUCGAGAUGCUGGUUAACUCAACUAUUUAAGCAGCUUAACAAGCAACUGAAAAUAAGACAUUGCGGAGCCGAGGCAAAGGCAGAGCAGCAGCCUUGGAAAUAACGCCCCCUUCUGUUUUAACCUGAUUCUUCUGAGGAGUGUGGUGCAUGCACAAGCCAUUGCAAGCGUUUGGUGGGGGAGAGGUGGCUAUGCUGUUUCCAAGAGGAGCCAACAACCCAGGCAGAAAGACCAGGCUGUAGCAGCCAUGGCUCUUGCCAGUGGAAGCUAACCCCAUGUCACGUUUGGCACGUGUAUACCUAUUGCCAAUAACCCCAGAGGAGGCUGCGUUUUCUCUCGAGUCACCUGGGAAUUUAGUCAUAAAUGAAACAGAUUGACUUCAGCUGGCUUCUUCCAUCACAGUAAGGAAAAUACCCAGCGUUGGACCAAGCAUCAUCCAUGUACUCCUUUUUCUUAAUAAUUAACUUUGGCUGUCUCAUAUAAGUUGGAUAUUUGGUGCCAAAUAUGCCCUUUUCCACAAGUUCAAGGCUAAUCUAACAAAAUUAACACCUCCCGAGGCCCACAGAGAGUUCUUGGUCUUUAGGGACCCUGACAAACUAUUUACAGUUUCUACCAAGACAGACCUACCAGAAUGUUGUAAGAAUAAACAGACUUCAAAGUCUUCACAAGAGGAGAAGCUGUUCUGGCUAAGUCUAUAAUUUAGACUAUCUUCGGAGAAGAAUGACUUCAUGAAAAGAGGGGCCCAGAGUGGCCAGCCUCUUUCAAACUCGUAACUUUUUCUUUAUUUAGUUGUGAAGACUAAAUGACAGGUAGGACAGUGCUUUUGUAGGAACGUGGGAGUCUUGAAGCUAUAGAAGGAAGUUACACUGUGCAUGGGGGUAAGCAUGUGGGUAGGAGUUAUAGACUAGUCUAGAAUAAUCAUGCAUACACAUCUUACGAUGGCACCUGAAUAGAAUUAAUAAACUCCUAUUAAAGGCACUUGAUACAUCAUUUUUUUUUAAAGCACACAUUACCUAUUAUAUUCAGGAACAGAAAAAAUAAUAAUUUUACAUCCAGGAACAAAGAUUAAAAAAGAGCCUUUAAUUUUGACAAAACAAAAAUCUGAUACAAUUGGAUUUUCAUAUGUUAAUUCAAAAGCUGACAUGCUAUACUUCUCUGAAAGUAUGGUAGAGAAGCUGGCUUUGUCUUGUAGAUAUCAUAACCUUAAAAGAUUAAGCCUGAGGGGCGCCUGGGUGGCUCAGUUGGUUAAGCGACUGCGUUCGGCUCAGGUCAUGAUCCCGGAGUCCGGGGAUCGAGUCCCACAUCGGGCUCCCUGCUCGGCGGGGAGCCUGCUUCUCCCUCUGACCCUCCCCCAUCUCGUGCUCUCUCUCUCUGUCUCAUUCUCUCUCUCAAAUAAAUAAAUAAAAUCUUUAAAAAAAAAAAGAUUAAGCCUGAGAAAUGAUGAAAGUAAACAACAAAGAACACAGCAAGGAUGGCAUAGUAGUGAUCAGUCACAGAUUUCCCCAAACCUUGCCCUCGGGGCCUGUAUGGUGGACAACGUGCAUCCUGACAGAAAUAAAGUCACCAUUUCAUGCAACCAGGAAUAGAAUCCUGUCUUACAAAUUAAAAGGAAUUCCAGGGGCGCCUGGGUGGCUCAGUUGGUUAAGCGACUGCCUUCGGCUCAGGUCAUGAUCCUGGAGUCCCGGGAUCAAGUCCCACAUCGGGCUCCCUGCUCAGCGGGGGGUCUGCUUCUCCCUCUGACCCGCUCCCCUCUCGUGUUCUCUGUCUCUUAUUCUCUCUCCCAAAUAAAUAAAUAAAUAAAAUCUUAAAAAAAAAAAAAAAAGGAAUUCCAGCACUGAAGACUUGUAGUGUAAGUACAUGGCUGUAAUUCUUGACAUUUGAAUUGUGUGGGGGGAGAAAAAAAGAAAGAUCAUAAAGAUAAUGAUAAUUGUCUAUCUUUUGAGUUUAGAUUCACCUGUUCACAUUCUUGCUCUCUGUCACUACACAUUGUACUUUUAUAUUGUUUACUUAAUAGAUUAUAAUUAUUUACUAUUACAUAUCUGUAGCUGGCUGGCCUGUAUGUUUCAAGAGCCUUGAGGUCUAGUUUUGCUCAUUCUAUAGUCUCAGAAUCUAGGAAAGGCUGGAAUUAUGCCAAGACUAUUUGUGAACUGGAUAGGAAAGUUGACAACAAAAAGACAGUGAAAAAUGCAGCGGUUACUGGUGAGCUGGUGACCUAUAGCCAGAAAAAGUUUGAAAAGGGAAAAGAAUGUUCAACAUUGUCUAAAAAUACAUUCAGUACUGGGAAGGUUCAAUGGGAUCAGGUCCUGUCGGCAGUUACUCAUUGCUAAGCCUGCGGCAGAAAAUAUGGGCAUUCAGAGCUACCCAGGUGCGGCCAUUGGGACCGAUGGCGCAUUCACAACAACCAUAAAUUAAGACUUCUAAUGUUACCUGCAAAUGAGAUUCGAAUGAGAAACGUCCCAUUAAUGUAUUUGUAUUUAUGAUUUAACCAUGGUACUUUACUGAAUGAAUUCAUAAGGUAUAUAAGAAUUUGCAAGACUUUUUAUUUCUAAGAAAGUUAUAUAUAUAUACACACACACACAUACACGCAUAUGUGUAUAUAUGCACACUUUUAUGUAAUACACACACACACACAUACAUACACACACAUUCUAGAGUUUGAUACAAAUAAAUCCAAAAGGAAGUGGCCUAAAAUACUUUUGAUCUCUCAGAGACCCUAAUGUCAUUCUCAAAGGGUGCUCAUGAUCACAGUUUCUUAGAAGGAGACAGGAUAUGGAAUUAUAAAUAAACAGCAACCUAAGCAUUAUAGAAGAUGUAGGAUUAUCCUCUGUGUGGACUUAAUCAUAUCUAGUUUAUUUUUAAGCCCACAGACAGACAACUGACGCUUAUCUGGUAUAAAGUGAAACAUGGUUAGGUUGCACCAUGACCCAGCAGGUGCAUGAUAAAGGUGUACUACCACCUUAGCUUCAGACAACUGGUCCUGAUUCCCACAUUUCUAGAUGCAUAUGUGUGCAUAUGUGUGCCGGUUUACCCACACCUAACUCUAUUUGAGACAGAGUUUCCUGCAGAGAACACUGUUUCUUUCGAGCCAAAUAGAACUUACUUGCCUUGCCAAAGGGAGAAAGUGGACCAGGUCAAUGGGUCACCACUGAUUCUGGGUAUUUCCAUUUCCUGAACUCUAGCUCAGUGGGAGGACAUCUUGGCUGCAUAUUGGAGCCAUCUGAGGAACUUAAAAAAAAAAAUACUGAUGCUCGUAUGCUACUCCCAGAACUUCUGAUUUGAUUGGUCUGGAUUACACUCUAUGGAUUCAAAGUGAAGCCAAAGUCAGGAACCACUGCCUUACUUUUGGUCUCCCCAUUUCUAGGAUGGGCUCAUAAAUACCACCUCAUUUGCCUCUUGGGAGAGUGCAAAGAAGACAGUAUAUGCCAUUAGAGUUCCCUCACAUUCCUGAAUUCACUGGUUUCCCUUCUUCCUUUAUCUCUGGAGAGGAAAUAGAAAGGGAAGGAACUAAUGGUGGCCAUCUUGGGAGGGUGAGAAGGGGGGGCCCUUCCCCAAGAGCCCUCCAAGCUCUGCCAGUUAGCAGGUCAUUAGGGUUAACCAACUAUCUUUUGUCAAAGUAAUCACUUUUGAAGGAUUAAGCCUCAAGCUCACCUUAGUGUGAAUUACUUUAAUCAGAUAAUCUCCUAUCACCUAGUUGAGGAUUUGUUGUUGAGGACCCGAGGGAAGCAAGGAGAGAAUUGCAAAGCCAGCCUGGGAUUCACGGAAGGUGAGGUGAGGAAGCCCGCAGUCUGGGAACUAGUCUUGGCCCUCAGUAGGCUAACAGCAGCAUAAAAAAUUAGAAAAACAAACUUUCUUCUCACAUUGCUAGGGCAGUGAUUUGUUCAAAGUGUUCCUAUGAUCAAGUUGUUGUCCGUCUCAUGGCCCUUUAUGACUUUUCUGUCUUUCUUUCUGCCAGGAAGCACUUAACACGUGCCAGGUAAUUUUACCAUUUGCCAGCUCUUGGGAAUCUGUGAGGAGCAAGGCCUGGCGAAGCCCUAGCCUCCUUACCAUCUGCCUGGCACAUGAUUUUAUUUAUUUGUCAGAGAGAGAGCACAAGCGCACAAGCAGGAGAAGCAGCAGACAGAGGCAGAAGAAGCAGGCUCCCCGCUCAGCAGGGAGCCCGAUGCAGGACUUGAUCCCAGCGCCCUGGGAUCAUGACCUGAGCCGAAGGCAGACGCUUAACCGACUGAGCCACCCAGGCAUCCCUGUAUUUAUUUUUGUAACUGCUUUAUUUAUUAAAAGACCAUUACUGUACAUUUUCUUUUCCUUAGUGACAGUUCUUAUUAAAAAAAUGUGUAUAUCCCAGGUAGAAUGUCAAUAUACUACAUAUUAGACACAUUAAUUCAGGAUCUGGGUUAUAGGUUGUGAAACACUACACUGUGGGUCAGGAGUCUUGGCCCCUCAUUAGCUGCGAGGUUUUGGUCAAGGGUCAAUUGUCCAGUCCCCAUAACCUCAUGUGAUAAAUGAAAGUUCAAAUGAAUGACAUGAGAGAUGCCAUUUGUUUUAUAAAGUCAUACUAUGAGAUUAAGUGGGAAAGAAAACAGAACACAAAAUUGCAUAUAUAGUAAGUACAAUGUCAGCUAUGUAAAAAUGUGUUGAGAAAAACCUGGAAGAAUAUAAACUGUAGUAUGACCAGUGACUAUCUCUGGGAAUUGGAAUCACUGCUGAUUUAUAUAAAAAAUAUUCUGUUUUCAGGCAUUUUGAAUUUUCUAUACUGUGUUGACUUCAAGAAAGAAAGAAAGUGUGUGCAAGUGUGUGUGUAUCCCCCCCAAAUAUCUCACUUCCCUCAAGGCAUGGAGGUGGUCACCUUACAGAUUCUCUUCAGUUCUCAGAUGUAAGAUUCUAAUGUUCACUGUAUCUCACUGUUAAGGGUUUUCUGCUGGCCUCCAGCCAUUUGCUGCCCCUUGCCCUCCUGGCAGAGCCCACUCUUUUUGGUGCAACUCCUGCAUUCUGUUCUGGGACUAGACCAUUAGCCUCCACACUAACAGUCAAGAGAGUACUCUAGUUAUAUCUGUGAAAACCAAAUCUGGAUCGCGUGCCAUCCUCCACCUCUAAUACAACCAAACACUUGGCUAGUUCCCACUGACCACAAGUCUAAUGACUGCAGUUGUACAUUUUGAGUGUGAUUCAUUUGAUUAGGAUUCAUUGUUUUUCUCACUUGACUGUAGGCUCCUUGAAGUUAGGUGUCCUGUUUGUUUUUAUUCACCAUUGGACUCCUAGCUCUAGUGUGAAAUCGGGAUUCAAGGUUCAAGACCUCUAGUUCCCACUCCUUUGAAUGGUCUUUCCGCCAGUGUUCUGCCUCUCCUUGAGGACUCUGCUGAUCUCGGACUACCUCAGUCCUUGACCAUGCCCUUGAACACACACCCUCCCUCCCCAGUCCCGCUAACCUGCUUUCUCCUAUUUCACAGCGCUUACU